rnacentral:rRNA from 1 species
AGAGUUUGAUCCUGGCUCAGGAUGAACGCUAGCGACAGGCUUAACACAUGCAAGUCGAGGGGCAGCGAUAGGUGGCAACACCGAGUCGGCGACCGGCGCACGGGUGAGUAACGCGUAUGCAACUUGCCUAUCAGAGGGGGAUAACCCGGCGAAAGUCGGACUAAUACCGCAUAAAACAGGGGUCCCGCAUGGGGAUAUUUGUUAAAGAUUCAUCGCUGAUAGAUAGGCAUGCGUUCCAUUAGGCAGUUGGCGGGGUAACGGCCCACCAAACCGACGAUGGAUAGGGGUUCUGAGAGGAAGGUCCCCCACAUUGGUACUGAGACACGGACCAAACUCCUACGGGAGGCAGCAGUGAGGAAUAUUGGUCAAUGGGCGAGAGCCUGAACCAGCCAAGUAGCGUGAGGGAUGACUGCCCUACGGGUUGUAAACCUCUUUUAUAAGGGAAUAAAAUGAAGUACGCGUACUUCUUCGCAUGUACCUUAUGAAUAAGCAUCGGCUAACUCCGUGCCAGCAGCCGCGGUAAUACGGAGGAUGCGAGCGUUAUCCGGAUUUAUUGGGUUUAAAGGGUGCGUAGGUCGCCGAUUAAGUCAGCGGUGAAAUCCAGUGGCUCAACCAUCGGACUGCCGUUGAAACUGGCCGGCUUGAGUAUGAUUGAGGCAGGCGGAAUGCGUGGUGUAGCGGUGAAAUGCAUAGAUAUCACGCAGAACCCCGAUUGCGAAGGCAGCUUGCCAAGCCAUGACUGACACUGAAGCACGAAAGCGUGGGUAUCAAACAGGAUUAGAUACCCUGGUAGUCCACGCAGUAAACGAUGAAUACUAGCUGUUGGCGAUACAAGGUCAGCGGUAAAGCGAAAGUAUUAAGUAUUCCACCUGGGGAGUACGCCGGCAACGGUGAAACUCAAAGGAAUUGACGGGGGCCCG